rfam:Salmo salar isolate Sally breed double haploid chromosome ssa20, whole genome shotgun sequence.
CCUAAUUACUCAUGUAAGUCGCUCUGGAUAAGAGCGUCUGCUAAAUGACGUAAA